UCCCAGCAGUCCGAGUCGCAGCCACAAUUAUUGGGUCUAAAACAUCCGUAGCUUGCUGAGUAAGUCCUCUGUGAAAUCUGGCCUCUUGAGGGUCGGGCGCGCACUGGAUACUGCUGAGCUUGAGACCGGGAGACGUAAGGAGUACGCAGAGAGUAGCGGUAAAAUGUGUUGAUCCUCUGUGGACUAACGACAGCGAAGGCACCUUACGAGCACGGAUCUGACAGUGAGGGAUGAAGGCUAGGGGCGCAAAGUG
rnacentral:rRNA from 1 species